CCUACGGGAUGCAGCAGUAGGGAAUCUUUCACAAUGGGCGAAAGCCUGAUGGAGCAACGCCGCGUGCAGGAUGAAGGCCUUCGGGUUGUAAACUGCUUUUAUAAGCGAGAAAUAUGAUGGUAACUUAUGAAUAAGGAUCGGCUAACUACGUGCCAGCAGCCGCGGUCAUACGUAGGAUCCGAGCAUUAUCCGGAGUGACUGGGUGUAAAGAGUUGCGUAGGUGGCAUAAUAAGUAGCUAGUGAAAUCUGGUGGCUCAACCAUUCAGACUAUUAGCUAAACUGUUAAGCUCGAGACCGUUAGGGGUAACUGGAAUUUCUAGUGUAGGAGUGAAAUCCGUAGAUAUUAGAAGGAACACCAAUAGCGUAGGCAGGUUGCUGGGACGGUUCUGACACUAAGGCACGAAAGCGUAGGGAGCAAACGGGAUUAGAUACCCGAGUAGUC
rnacentral:rRNA from 1 species